UACAGAGGUCCCGAGCGUUGUUCGGAUUCACUGGGCGUAAAGGGUGCGUAGGUGGUGGGGUAAGUCGGAUGUGAAAGCUCGGAGCUCAACUCCGAAAUGGCAUUGGAAACUACCCUGCUGGAGGUUUGGAGGGGGGACUGGAAUACUUGGUGUAGCAGUGAAAUGCGUAGAUAUCAAGUGGAACACCAGUGGCGAAGGCGGCAUCCUGGACCGGUAUUGACGCUGAGGCGCGAAAGCCAGGGGAGCAAACGGG
rnacentral:rRNA from 1 species